rnacentral:rRNA from 1 species
GAUGAACGCUGGCGGCGUGCCUAAUACAUGCAAGUCGAGCGAACGGACGAGAAGCUUGCUUCUCUGAUGUUAGCGGCGGACGGGUGAGUAACACGUGGAUAACCUACCUAUAAGACUGGGAUCACUUCGGGAAACCGGAUCUAAUACCGUAUAAUAUUUUGAACCGCAUUGUUCAAAAGUGAAAGACGGUCUUGCUGUCACUUAUAGAUGGAUCCGCGCUGCAUUAGCUAGUUGGUAAGGUAACGGCUUACCAAGGCAACGAUGCAUAGCCGAACUGAGAGGAUGAUGGGUCACACUGGAACUGAGACACGGUGCCGAAUCGUAAGGGAGGCACCGGUAGGGAAUCUUCCGCAAUGGGCGGAAGCCAGACGGAGCAACGGCGCGUGAGUGAUGAAGGUCUUCGGAGCGUAAAACACUGUUCUUAGGGAAGAACAUAUGUGUAAGUAACUGUGCAAAUAUUGACGGUACCUAACCAGAAAGCCACGGCUAACUCCGUG